GACAGAGGGUGCAAGCGUUGUUCGGAAUUAUUGGGCGUAAAGGGCGCGUAGGCGGCCUUGCAAGUCAUAUGUGAAAUCCCAGGGCUCAACCCUGGAAGUGCAUCUGAUACUGCAUCGCUUGAGUCCUGGAGAGGGUGGUGGAAUUCCCAGUGUAGAGGUGAAAUUCGUAGAUAUUGGGAGGAACACCGGUGGCGAAGGCGACCACCUGGACAGAGACUGACGCUGAGGCGCGAAAGCGUGGGGAGCAAACAGG
rnacentral:rRNA from 1 species